rnacentral:rRNA from 1 species
UACGGGGGGGGCAAGCGUUGUUCGGAAUUACUGGGCGUAAAGGGCUCGUAGGUGGCCAACUAAGUCAGACGUGAAAUCCCUCGGCUUAACCGGGGAACUGCGUCUGAUACUGGGUGGCUUGAGUUCGGGAGAGGGAUGCGGAAUUCCAGGUGUAGCGGUGAAAUGCGUAGAUAUCUGGAGGAACACCGGUGGCGAAGGCGGCAUCCUGGACCGACACUGACACUGAGGAGCGAAAGCCAGGGGAGCAAACGGG